rnacentral:rRNA from 1 species
CCUACGGGAGGCAGCAGUGGGGAAUAUUGCACAAUGGGCGAAAGCCUGAUGCAGCAACGCCGCGUGAGCGAUGAAGGCCUUUGGGUUGUAAAGAUCUUUCAGCUGGGAAGAUAAUGACGGUACCAGCAGAAGAAGCCCCGGCUAACUCCGUGCCAGCAGCCGCG